CACUCAUUUAAAGAGUGCGUAAUAGCUCACUGGUCGAGUGAUCCUGCGCCGAAAAUUUCCGGGGCUAAAACGUACUACCGAAGCUACGGCAUCAUUUAUGAUGGGUAGGGGAGCUUCGUAUGCAGGCUGAAGCAUGACCGUAAGGACAUGUGGACAGUAUACGAGUGAGAAUGUUGGCAUGAGUAGCGAGACGUGGGUGAGAAUCCCACGGGCCGUAAACCCAAGGUUUCCAGGGGAAGGUUCGUCCGCCCUGGGUUAGUCGGGACCUAAGCCGAGGCCGAAAGGCGUAGGUGAUGGACAACAGGUUGAUAUUCCUGUACCGCCAAUAAGCGUUUGAGAGAUGGAGUGACACAGUAGGAUAAGCUAACCGUACUGUUGGUUAUGUACGGCUAAGCAUUGAGGCAGUCUAAAUAGGCAAAUCCGUUUAGACAAUGCUAGGAUGUGAUGGGGAAGCCCUUCGGGGCGAAGUAGCUGAUUUCACACUGUCAAGAAAAGCUUCUAUCGAGUUUAAAGGCGCCCGUACCGUAAACCGACACAGGUGGGUGAGGAGAGUAUCCUAAGGCCAGCGAGAGAACUAUUGUUAAGGAACUCGGCAAAAUGACCCCGUAACUUAGGGAGAAGGGGUGCCUGUCUAUGACAGGCCGCAGAGAAUAGGCCCAAGCGACUGUUUACCAAAAACACAGGUUUCUGCUAAGUCGCAAGACGAUGUAUAGGAGCUGACGCCUGCCCGGUGCUGGAAGGUUAAGGGGAUCUGUUAGAGCAAUCGAAGCAGUGAACUUAAGCCCCAGUAAACGGCGGCCGUAACUAUAACGGUCCUAAGGUAGCGAAAUUCCUUGUCGGGUAAGUUCCGACCCGCACGAAAGGCGUAACGAUUUGGGCACUGUCUCAACAAUAGACUCGGUGAAAUUGUAAUCCCGGUGAAGAUGCCGGGUACCUGCGACAGGACGGAAAGACCCCAUGGAGCUUUACUGUAGCUUGACGUUGGGUCUUGGUACUACAUGUACAGGAUAGGUGGGAGACUAUGAAGCAUGGACGCCAGUCUGUGUGGAGUCAUCCUUGGGAUACCACCCUUGUAGUACUGGGAUCCUAACCAUAGGCCUUGAAUCAGGUCUUGGAACACCGUCAGGUGGGCAGUUUGACUGGGGCGGUCGCCUCCUAAAAAGUAACGGAGGCGCUCAAAGGUUUCCUCAGCACGGUCGGAAAUCGUGCGAAGAGUGUAAAGGCAAAAGGAAGCUUGAUUGCAAGACAUACAGGUCGAGCAAGGACGAAAGUCGGACUUAGUGAUCCGGUGGUACCGCAUGGAAGGGCCAUCGCUCAACGGAUAAAAGCUACCCUGGGGAUAACAGGCUUAUCUCCCCCAA
rnacentral:rRNA from 1 species